GUCUUAAUAAUCUAACAAAAGAUAUUGGUCUUGUAAACCAAAUAUGAAUUAUAAUUCUUAAGACU
rnacentral:tRNA from 1 species